UACGUAGGGGGCAAGCGUUGUCCGGAAUUAUUGGGCGUAAAGAGCGCGUAGGCGGUCCGAUAAGUCGGCUGUGAAAGUCAGGGGCUCAACCCUUGAAAGCCGGCCGAUACUGUCGGACUAGAGUCCGGAAGGGGAGACUGGAAUUCCUGGUGUAGCGGUGAAAUGCGCAGAUAUCAGGAGGAACACCGGUGGCGAAGGCGGGUCUCUGGGCCGUAACUGACGCUGAGGAGCGAAAGCGUGGGGAGCGAACAGG
rnacentral:rRNA from 1 species